UUUAGAUAAUGAGAGGCGAAAUGUUUUAAUCGUUGUAAAGCCGUUGCAGGUAAUCGGGUGGUCCUAACAGCCCACAAAACUGUUUUAUAGUAUUCAGUUUAUUUUCGUAAUGCGCCAAGUGAGCAAACGGCCGGGGUAUUAAUAGCGUACGGUAUACGACUUCGGACUUCGAAUUUAUGAAUUGCUUUUCUCGCGUCGAUUCAAUACAAAAUCGGUAGUGAUUCACGUGUUUCUCAAAUGAUAUAGUUCUUCUAUUUGUGUGUGACUAUUAUAGUAUUCAACGUAAUGUACAUUUGUUCGACAGUAACAAUAAAGCUUAACAAUUUCAAGGAAUUUGAUUGACUAUAUCAUCAACAUUCAGAUUGAUUAAUGACAAUGCGAUCCAAGUCCUAAGUGAACUCGUUAUUAUGAAUUGAAGACGGGAUAUUAAUUUUGGCGUCCUGAUAAUAUUAUAGCGUCAGGAUAUUGCACAUGAUCAAUCCACUGUGACGUUGUUAAUAUUUCAUUUUUAUGACGAAACUGAGGGACAUCAUUGACAGAAGUCGCAACUGGGAAACGAGUAUAAUAGUCUAACCCAAGGACCUUCAACUUUUAUUGCGGUGCACUCAAUCUAAAAUAUGCUUUGGCAUGCGGUUCAAUAUUGGUUAGAGAGGAAUAAAAAGAAUUUCAAAAAUGUUAGAAUUUGUUCUAACAAUGUCUGCAGGAAGCCAAAAAUUGAACUUCAAAUAGCUGAGGCAAUUAAAAAAGAAGUAAAAAAAAAAAGUAUUAUUCUUAAAACCGUUUUCCGUCGGACAUUUAAUGACGGCGCGGAGAUGCAUUGGUCCUUGGAUGUUUUUUGUUUGCUCGAAAUGAAAAUAAUAUUGUCCACGAUAAACGAAUAAAAUAUAAUAUUUUGUUUUAAUAAAAUAAACAGCCGACACGGCGAUAUCGCAACAUACCGAAGAACAUGCACGGCUGGCCGUUGAUGGCGUCCUGUAGCCACUGGAUGGUCAGCAGGCAGACGAACGACAGGAGCAGGCAGGCCACGU